rnacentral:misc_RNA from 1 species
CGGCACACACCCCUUGUUAGAUACAUAUGCAUGCAACCAAUCUCCUCAUUUCAACGUUAAUCAUCAUAACAAUACAUCCAAAUCAAACAAUACUAGCCUAGGCAGAUNNNNAAGCGAAUACCACUAUCAGCUGAAUGUCCAACCCAAAAUCAUCAGUAAAGGAUAAUCAGUAUCACCCUCUAGCAUUUGGGUCAUAGCCAGUGAUUACUCAAGUUU